rnacentral:rRNA from 1 species
AAGGGCACCACAAGAACGCGUGGAGCAUGUGGCUUAAUUUGACUCAACGCGGGAAAUCUUACCGGGUCCGGACACACUGAGGAUUGACAGGCAAUAUUAAUACUUUGCUUCGGCAUUGUAUUAUGUUAAAUAUGCUAGUCCUUUCAUGAUUAUGUGAUAGGUGGUGCAUGGCCGUUCUUAGUUCGUGGAGUGAUCUGUCUGCUUAAUUGCGUUUCACUAAGGGCCUAUAAAUUUACGUAUGUUGUAUCGCACUUUGACCCCUUUCUUUAAUUAGAAAGCGCGUGUCUUAGUUUCGCUUUGCUCAUACAAUUAGGUCCUGAAAGCAACGAACGUGACCGCAACCUCUUGUUGCCUUUAUACCAAACAUGUUUAUUCAUUUUUUAAUGUUCAUUCAUGAAAAAAGGCUUUUUAAACUAGAGGGACCGCUGUUACUUUCUUAAACCAGAGGAAGGUUGCGGCAAUAACAGGUCUGUGAUGCCCUUAGAUGUUCCGGGCUGCACACGUGCUACAAUGAUUAUUGCAGUGAGCAUCUCAUUUUUACACACCGCAUGCGCGAGUCCAUUUAUUCACCUUCGGGUGUUUUAAAUGUGUACCUCUGCGCGCGGUAAAGCCUGCUUCGAAAGUAAGUGGGUAAUCAAUUAGAAGUAAUGAUUUCCUUUUUUAGCACACAUAUAUACGGCGUCUAUGCCCGGGUUACCUUGUUGUAGCUUUUGUGUGUAUAGAUGUUUUUUCCGUAUGUGCGAUUGUCAAUUCAUGGUGGGGACAGACCAUUGUUAAUUGUUGGUCUCGGUCUUAACUAGGAAUGCCUUGUACGGGUCUUUGGUUCAACAAACCACCCGGAAUACGUCCCUGCCCUUUGUACACACCGCCCGUCGCUCUUACCGAUGGACUUCUCUGUGAGUUUGAGGGACUGGGAACGCAGGAAUUUAUUUCUGCACACCUAUGGAAACUUAAACGAACAGUGUGGUCUAAAGGAAAGAGAAGUCGUAACAAGGCAUCGGUAGGUGAACCUGCAGAAGGAUCA